rnacentral:rRNA from 1 species
UAAAUACUACCUGAUGACCGAUAGUGAAGCAGUACCGUGAGGGAAAGGUGAAAAGAACCCCGGGAGGGGAGUGAAAUAGAACCUGAAACCGUGUGCCUACAACCGCUCAGAGCCCCUUAUGAGGGUGAUGAGGUGCUUUUUGUAGAACGAGCCAACGAGUUACGGUAUGUAGCAAGGUUAAGUACUUAAGGUACGGAGCCGAAGGGAAACCGAGUCUGAAUAGGGCGACUAGUUGCAUGCCGUAGACCCGAAACCGGGUGACCUAUCCAUGGCCAGGUUGAAGCGAGGGUAAAACCUCGUGGAGGACCGAACCACGUUGCUGUUGAAAAAGCAUGGGAUGAGCUGUGGAUAGCGGAGAAAUUCCAAUCGAACCCGGAGAUAGCUGGUUCUCUCCGAAAUAGCUUUAGGGCUAGCGUCGAGUAUGAGUAGUGGAGGUAGAGCACUGAAUGGGCUAGGGGGCAUAGCGCUUACCGAACCUUAUCAAACUCCGAAUGCCACAUACUUUGAGCUCGGCAGUCAGACUACGAAUGAUAAGAUCCGUGGUCAAAAGGGAAACAGCCCAGAUCGUCAGCUAAGGUCCCAAAGUGUAAGUUAAGUGGGAAAGGAUGUGAGAUUUCUAAGACAACUAGGAUGUUGGCUUAGAAGCAGCCAUUCAUUAAAAGAGUGCGUAAUAGCUCACUAGUCGAGAGAUCUUGCGCCGAAAAUGUAACGGGGCU